AGCUUGCACAGGUGCUGCAUGGCUGUCGUCAGCUCGUGUCGUGAGAUGUUCGGUUAAGUCCGCUAACGAGCGCAACCCUCGCUGUGUGUUACAAGUGUCACACGGGUACUGCCGGUCUUAAGCCGGAGGAAGGUGGGGAUGACGUCAAGUCAGCAUGGCCUUUACGUCCUGGGCUACACACACGCUACAAUGGCCAACACAAUAGGUUGCUAAGCCGCGAGGUGGAGCCAAUCCUCAAAGUUGGUCUCAGUUCAGAUUGCAGGCUGCAACCCGCCUGCAUGAAGAUGGAGUUGCUAGUAACCGCAGGUCAGCUAUACUGCGGUGAAUACGUUCCCGGGGCCGUU
rnacentral:rRNA from 1 species